GUUUGAUCCUGGCUCAGAUUGAACGCUGGCGGCAGGACCUAUACACAUGCAAGUCGAGCGGUAACACAGAGGUAGUCUUGACUCCUUGGGUGACGAGCGUGCGGACGGGUGAGUAUAUUGCCUGGGGAUCUGCCGCUCGAUAGAGGGGGAUAACUACCGGGAAUACUAGUAGCUAAUAACCGCAUAAUAUCUACGGACCAAAGUGGGGGCUCUUCGGACCUCAUGCUAUCGGAUGAACCCAGGUGGGAUUAGCUAGUUGGUGAGGUAAUGGCUCACCAAGGCGACGAUCUCUAACUGGUUUGAGAGAAUGAACAGUCACACUGGAACUGAGACACGGUCCAGACUCCUACGGGAGGCAGCAGUGGGGAAUAUUGCACAAUGGGCGCAAGCCUGAUGCAGCCAUGCCGCGUGUGUGAAGAAGGCCUUCGGGUUGUAAAGCACUUUCAGCGGGGAGGAAGGGUCACUAGUUAAUACCUAGUGGCAUUGACGUUACUCGCAGAAGAAGCACCGUGCUAACAUCUCGCUGCCAGCACGCCGCGGUAAAUAGCGUGAGUGGUGCACAGCCGUUUAUAGUCAAGAAAUUUACUGUGGGCAGUAAACAGCCCGCAGGCGGUUCGACAGUCAGGUGUGAAAUCCCCGAGCUCAACUUGGGAACUGCAUUUGAAACUGGCAAGCUAGAGUCUUGUAGAGGGGGGUAGAAUUCCAGGUGUAGCGGUGAAAUGCGUAGAGAUCUGGAGGAAUACCGGUGGCGAAGGCGGCCCCCUGGACAAAGACUGACGCUCAGGUGCGAAAGCGUGGGGAGCAAACAGGAUUAGAUACCCUGGUAGUCCACGCUGUAAACGAUGUCGAUUUGGAGGUUGUGCCCUUGAGGCGUGGCUUCCGGAGCUAACGCGUUAAAUCGACCGCCUGGGGAGUACGGCCGCAAGGUUAAAACUCAAAUGAAUUGACGGGGGCCCGCACAAGCGGUGGAGCAUGUGGUUUAAUUCGAUGCAACGCGAAGAACCUUACCUACUCUUGACAUCCAGAGAACUCUUCCAGAGAUGGAUUGGUGCCUUCGGGAACUGUGAGACAGGUGCUGCAUGGCUGUCGUCAGCUCGUGUUGUGAAAUGUUGGGUUAAGUCCCGCAACGAGCGCAACCCUUAUCCUUUGUUGCCAGCGAUUCGGUCGGGAACUCAAAGGAGACUGCUCGGUGAUAAACCGGAGGAAGGUGGGGAUGACGUCAAGUCAUCAUGGCCCUUACGAGUAGGGCUACACACGUGCUACAAUGGCAUAUACAAAGGGCGGCAAGCUAGCGAUAGUGAGCGAAUCCCAUAAAGUAUGUCGUAGUCCGGAUUGGAGUCUGCAACUCGACUCCAUGAAGUCGGAAUCGCUAGUAAUCGCGGAUCAGAAUGCCGCGGUGAAUACGUUCCCGGGCCUGUGUACACACCGCCCGUCACACCAUGGGAGUGGGUUGCAAAAGAAGUAGGUACUUAACCUUCGGGAGGGCGCUUACCACUUUGUGAUUCAUGACUGGGGUGAAGUCGUAACAAGGUAACCGUAGGGGAACCUGCGGCUGGAUCACCUCC
rnacentral:rRNA from 1 species